rnacentral:rRNA from 1 species
AAUCAACGCUGGCGGCGCGCUUAACACAUGCAAGUCGCACGAGAAAGGGAGCACUCCUGAGUAAAGUGGCGUACGGGUGAGUAACACGUGGGAAUCUACCUCUUGGCGGGGAAUAACCCUGGGAAACCGGGGCUAAUACCGCAUAAGCUCGUGAGAGGAAAGCAGCAAUGCACCGAGAGAGGAGCCCGCGGCCGAUUAGCUAGUUGGUGGGGUAAUGGCUCACCAAGGCGAAGAUCGGUAGCCGGCCUGAGAGGGCACACGGCCACACUGGCACUGAAACACGGGCCAGACUCCUACGGGAGGCAGCAGUGGGGAAUCUUGCACAAUGGGGGAAACCCUGAUGCAGCGACGCCGCGUGAGCGAUGAAGCCCUUCGGGGUGUAAAGCUCUUUCGACAGGAACGAUAAUGACGGUACCUGGAGAAGAAGCUGCGGCUAACUACGUG